GCCCUGGCAUGGCUGAAGGGUGAUUGGCGAAAGUGUUCUCCUUUGGAGAAAAGACUUUUUGUGCUCGUGACGCAGUCAGGGACGGAUUAUUGAAUAUGCAAGUUAGAAGAAAAAUCACAGGACAAGCAAAUUGAGUAUUUACUGGCAAAUAAUUGCUCUCUUAAGCUGUGGCUCUCUUCCUAAAUUCUUAACAUUCCCGAGGGUUAGAAAGAAACACAGAAAAAUGCAUCGGUACAGAGUACAUUUCAAAAAAAAUACAUAGACUGAUGUUUCAGACUUGUGCAGAAUGUUUAACCAUCACUAACUGGAUACUUCUCACAACAUUGCUGUCUGGUAGGGGGAAGAACAGAAGAGUUCUGUCUCAGCCAGAAUUUGGAAGGAAGAGACUAACUCAUCAGAGAGAGCAGUGGCUGGCACUUUUCCUCCACGCUUUGAGACAAAGAGAAUUGGCUGGAAUAAAACCUUGCUUUCCAUAUGGUCGACUUGAAUGAAAUACAGCAUUGAAAAGUUCCUUGACCAUCAGUCUGUGGCCUGCCACUUUUCUUUAUGUAAGUAAAAGUGGUUUUUUACUUUUGCAAAAAGUGUCAUGUUUGGGAAAUUUGGAUCUUUAGUGGCAUGGUUUCUGGUUGACUUUGUUGUGGUUCCCGGCAUUUCUUCGCUAUGUAUUAGCUUCCUUGGGGUUUGGAACUGAUGCUGUUGGUGGUGGUAGUGAUUGCCAUCCGUGAGGGAGCUGAAAAGCCCAGGGUCCCCAGCAUUGGAUUUACAUAAAGACUGCCUUUUAC
rnacentral:lncRNA from 1 species